CGUGGGUAACCUGCCUCAUACAGGGGGAUAACAGUUAGAAAUGACUGCUAAUACCGCAUAAGCGCACAGUGCUGCAUGGCACAGUGUGAAAAACUCCGGUGGUAUGAGAUGGACUCGCGUCUGAUUAGCUAGUUGGUGGGGUAGCGGCCUACCAAGGCGACGAUCAGUAGCCAGCCUGAGAGGGUGAACGGCCACAUUGGGACUGAGACACGGCCCAA
rnacentral:rRNA from 1 species